rnacentral:rRNA from 1 species
AGCUCCAAUAGCGUAUAUUAAUGUUGUUGCAGUUAAAAAGCUCGUAGUUGGAUUUCUGGUGGGAGCGCCCGGUCCUACCCUAACGGGUUGUGUACUGGCGGCGUCUUUCGCCAUCCUUGGGGAGAGCGUUCCGAGCAUUAAGUUGUUUGGUUCGGGAUCCUCAUCUUUUACUGUGAAAAAUUAGAGUGUUUAAAGCAGGCAAUUGCUGUGAAUACAUUAGCAUGGAAUAAUAAGAUAGGACUUUGGUGCUAUUUUGUUGGUUUGCACACCGAGGUAAUGAUUAACAGGGACAGUUGGGGGUAUUCGUAUUUAAUUGUCAGAGGUGAAAUUCUUGGAUUUAUGAAAGACGAACUACUGCGAAAGCAUUUACCAAGGAUGUUUUCA